rnacentral:misc_RNA from 1 species
CGCGCUCCGCCAGCAAACAGCAAGACGGCGUGAGCACGUGUGUGUGAGCGCACGCAUCAGUGGCUCUCUCUCCCCUUUCCGCUUCGCUGUUGGUGACACAAUGCUUGACACGGAUAUCACGUUCUGCCUCUUCCCUCUCGGAGUCGGGGACACUGAUGUGACGGUCUACGGCGAAGCCCCUCUCUUGCUCACCUCCACCGCCUCCAUCAAGUCUAUAGAGACCACGUCGAGUCCCUCCGUCAUCGAUGUAGGAGGCGGCACGGCGCUGUGCGGCACCGCCAGAGGUGUGGCAGGCAGAAAAGCGAUGCUGAGCGUGCAGCAGCGCCGCAUCACCUUGGCGGCAUCUCCAUCGUCUGGAGCUCCUGAUCAAGACCAGAACGCGGCACCGGUGGAGGCGGUGGUGGACCUCACGGCAGCCGCGGAUUCCUGCUUCUCGGCCGCCGCCGCCAACAUGCACUUCAUCGCAGCCAAUCAUCUCAGCGAGCUCCAGUGCGGCGCAGUUCUUGCGCGGUGUGGAGCCGCAAAGAAUCAGUCUGUAGGCGCCACGGCCACUGCGCGGUCCUCUGGCACCGCAGGCCUUCUUGAGCCUAGCACUGGCUACGUGGAGUGUUGCGGAGGAAGGCGCUGCUACUACGUGUACCCGGUCGAGGACGGUCGAUACGCCGCGGCGGUGAUGCUGCCUGCCGUGGUGUGGCGUCAGCUGGGUGGUGGCGGCGACGGCGCUGCGUAUGCCGAGUGGCUCGUGCACACGGCUCUCCGCGGCAGCGUCGUAUCCGCGAACAGAGUUAUUAGCGGUGACUGGACGACAACAUGCGCUGCGCACCCGCCUCUCCACACGCGGCUUUUGGGCAGUCCACACGACGUGCAGCGCAGCAUGGACUCGCAGGUGCGACUGCUGGCGAAGGUUGUUUUGGAUGGCACCGCGCAACCGCGCGUGUUUGCAGAGCGCCAGUUGGCGCUGCGGCGCCUGUGCCGCGAGCAGCCGUCGCCGCUGCGCACGCGCCCACGCCUGUGGCGGCGAAUAGAGCAGCUGUUGCGGGCCGCCACGAGCUCGACGGACGCGGCGUCCCUCCGUGGCGUCAUGCCGACAAUGGGCCUGCCGAGCACAAAUACGCGCUAUGUGCUGGCCGCGUCAAGUGUGUGGUACCGCGGCAACCCUCUCUACCACAGCAGCAGCCCCAUCGGCGCCGCAUGCCGACCGGCGCAGGCCGCCGAGCUGCUGCGCUCUGCAGCGCUGUCCGCGGUGCUGGAGGAACUGAAAAAUGCGGCCGAGGCUGCUAGCAGAGGAAAAGGUAGCGUCGGCGGUGUGGCAUACGCUAGAGUCGAUGAUGCCACCAUUCGACUGACGGCUGUGUGCCUGCUUACGCGUGGGCCGAACAACAGCGAAGGUAACGCCGGCACAGACACGCGCGUUAGCGGCUACGUAAGUGCGCCAAUGCGCAUCACCUCCGCAGCCCAGUCGGUUGUCGACUCCUCCAGUGUCACCUCCACUGCCGCGUUGCCGUUGAUCUCACUGGCCGUCACAAGCGCUUCCGGUUGGACGGUGGCGCUGCUGGUGCGCGGCAUGCGCACCCCCUUCCUCGGCGCCCCGCUCUCCUCGAUAUUCAGUGGUGUGCAGCUGCUGGUCGAAGAGCACUUCGAAUCCGCCGUCUUUGCGAGCCUCGUGAGCGAGGCCACCGCGGCGAUGCGCACGACGUGGAGGCGUCCCGUCACACUGGUCUCGCCGCUCAUGGCACAGCUGGAGGCCGCCAUCCUUGAUAUCCGAGUUGGCCGACGCGGUGGCGCGGCGGUCGCAGCAGGUGCACCCACACGCACACGCGAUGUUCUCCUGUACUACUUUGAUCACCACGCAGCCGCACCCAAAACUACUGCCGCUGCGGACUCGCCAUGUUCGCCUCCACCCUGCUUCCUGUCGCGGCGGUGCAGAGCGGCGCACGGCGACGCCACUUCAGGUGUGUUGCGCCUCCGCUGUGCACUCGGCGAAGGUGAGGCGUUCGGACCCGACGGAUCGCAGACGGUUCACGGAGGCGGCGCCGCGGUGGAGGCCGUGCUGCAAGCAGCUGCGCGGUAUGCACAGCUGGCGGCCCGCGUGCAGCGCUGCUGUCGGGGUGCAGGGGCGAAGCGUCGCCGGCCUGGUGGUUGCGGUCCUUCCCCCUCGCCUCUGUAUGCCCAGCGCCGCUGCCAGACGGUGCACUCCGUGCUGAGCGGCAAGGACGUCAUCAGAGUGGUGCAGGCGGUGCCGCACUGCGCCUCCUGGAGUGGUGGCGUCGCCGGGCAUGCUGCAGAGUACGCUGUCACGUUCGCGGUAGUGGUUCUGGAGGCGAAGAAGACGCCCGAGCUGGCGCAUGACGAGUACCGCGCUUUUACAUCGUGGCUGCUGUGCAGGUGCUGCUGAAGAAGGGCGGUCGAGGUGAAGCACAGCGCGCCGUGCACGAGCGGCGCACGACCCGCUUUACCCCUCACCUCACACACAUGCGCGCAGAUGGGAAAGAAGUGCGUCUGGGUGCGACUUCGAGUGCUACAGCGCGUGGCUGGCUGAGCCGCAUAGAAGGCAUAGACGACGGAGCGUGCACGCAAG